CAGAUAGCUCAGUGGUAGAGCACUUGCAUGGUAAGCAAGCGGUCGAAGGUUCAAUUCCUUUUCUGGG
rnacentral:tRNA from 1 species